rnacentral:rRNA from 1 species
GACAGAGGCCCCAAGCGGUUAGGCGGAAAUCACUGGGCUUAAAGCGUGUGUAGGCGGACGCCUAAGUGUCUUGUGAAAUCCCACGGCUCAGCCCGUGGAACUGCUGGGCAUACUGGGCGUCUUGGGCCAACUAGGGGCAGCCGGAACAAGCGGUGGAGCGGUGAAAUGCGUAGAUAUCGCUUGGAACGCCGAAGGUGAAAACAGGCUGCUGGGGUUGCGCCGACGCUGAGACACGAAAGCCAGGGGAGGCAAACGGG